GCUCCUCAGUAGGUGGCCAGAAAAGAAAAAUGGGUUUGUAUUAUUUACCUCCUUUUUCACUGAAGGGCCAGAUUCGGAGAGCUUAAGUAGCUCUCCCAAUGCCACCCAGCCAGCACUAGAAAGGAAAGGGUAAGACAUGAACCUAAAUCUCCUGAGUCUACACUCUCCAGUGCAGCACACGAAGAGACAGGGAAGAACAGCUUCCAAGCCAGAACUUCCCAGCCACAGGCCACCCUUGGUGACAUAAGCCUCUACCUUCUGAGGCUCUAGCCACUGUGGCUUAGAGAUUAUAAUAGUAACACAUAGCACUUACUAUAUACCAGGCCUAUUGUAAGCACUUUACAUAUAUUAAACUAUUCAAUUCUUACAAAAAUUCCAUAGAGUCAGUACUAUUACUAUACGCAUGAUUACAAAUGAGGCAAUCAUGCUCCGAGUGUUUAAGUAGCUUGCUCAAGGUCAAAGUGUUAAUAUGUAAUAGAACCAGAACACAGGAGGGGAAGACUGGGCUUUUCAAUAUAAUGAUGUUCUCUGAAAGUUGUUUGUUAUAAUGAGAACUAGAAAUGAGUACAAUAUGGAAUCAAUAAACUGUGAAGUCAUACAACAAAAUGUCAUGCAGCAAAUCAGACAAAUCAGCUUUAUGUAUAUGUAAUAACAUGUUUACAUCUCAAAAACUUAAUAUUGAAUCCAAAAAUCAUUUGUAGAAUAAAAUGCACAAUAAGAUA